rnacentral:rRNA from 1 species
UACGGAGGAUGCAAGCGUUAUCCGGAAUGAUUGGGCGUAAAGCGUCCGCAGGUGGCUAUGUAAGUCUGCUGUUAAAGAGUGAGGCUCAACCUCAUAAGAGCAGUGGAAACUACAUAGCUAGAGUGCGUUCGGGGCAGAGGGAAUUCCUGGUGUAGCGGUGAAAUGCGUAGAUAUCGGGAGGAACACCAGUGGCGAAGGCGACUACCUGGCCUGUUCUUGACGCUGAGGCGCGAAAGCUAGGGGAGCAAACGGG